rnacentral:rRNA from 1 species
GACGAACGCUGGCGGCGUGCUUAACACAUGCAAGUCGAACGGAAAGGCCCUGCUUUUGUGGGGUGCUCGAGUGGCGAACGGGUGAGUAACACGUGAGUAACCUGCCCUUGACUUUGGGAUAACUUCAGGAAACUGGGGCUAAUACCGGAUAGGAGCUCCUGCUGCAUGGUGGGGUUUGGAAAGUUUCGGCGGUUGGGGAUGUACUCGCGGCUUAUCAGCUUGUUGGUGGGGUAGUGGCUUACCAAGGCUUUGACGGGUAGCCGGCCUGAGAGGGUGACCGGCCACAUUGGGACUGAGAUACGGCCCAGACUCCAACGGGAGGCAGCAGUGGGGAAUAUUGCACAAUGGGCGGAAGCCUGAUGCAGCAACGCCGCGUGCGGGAUGACGGCCUUCGGGUUGUAAACCGCUUUCGCCUGUGACGAAGCGUGAGUGACGGUAAUGGGUAAAGAAGCACCGGCUAACUACGUG